AUGGGAUGCGAUGCGGCGGGCGGGACUCCGCUUCCAGACAACGCCAGGCCCGGGAGGAGGCACCGAGCAGGCCAGCGGCCGCGGCGGGCUGCUCCUCCUCCUCCCGCAGCCUCUGCGCGGGUGCCCCGAAGGCCAUCGCCCCCCCCAUCCCGGGCUCUCCGGCCCCGCGCCACACGCACCUGCCUCCCUUUGAGGCUUCUCCCAAAACCCGCGGGGCCCUUCAACUGCGGCCUACCCAGGACGAAGCGCUCCUCUCAGCGCCCCCCCAGCCCCGGGGGCAACGGCCUCUCCUCAGCCGCCGGUGCCGGUACCGGCCGCACCCGCCUCCCUCGGCCGCGCCGCCGCGCACGCGCAGGGCGUCGGUUGUUAAAAACUCACUGCGCCAUCGCCGCCGGAAAACCCCUCCCCGGGGAGGGAGUCGCCGCCGCCGCCGCGCGGGGCGCGCUGGCGGCUGUCGGUCGGCUGCCGUCCCGCUGUCGUCCCGCUGCCGUCCCGCGGGGAUACGAAGGCUCAUCGUCGCUUCGCCCCGUCCCUGCCCCACGACCCCCAGGCGCGCCCGCAGCCGCGGGUGGGGGGGGGAACCCGCCGCCAUUUCCAGAAAGUUCCAGCGGCCGCCGCCAAGGCGAGAGCGCGGCUGCCCCGGCGCGUGCGCACGAUGCUCGCCGCCCGCCCGUCGCCACCCUCUUCCCUCACGCCCCUGGGCAUCCUGCAGAGCCCCGUUAUUCCCCCAGGGUGGGGACGGGAGGGAGCGAGCGGCGAGGAGCCCGCUGGGGCGCCCAUCCCUCGCCGCACGGGGGAACAGAGCGUUACAGUGACCCUGCCUCUCUCCCCCCCCCCAAUAACAACCGCCGCUCCCUCCCCAACCGCCGCCCGGGCCGUGUAACGUCCGCGGGAGCGCCCGCCCGCCCCUGUGUGGGGGCCACGUGGGCGGGGCGCGGCCAAUGGGAGGCCGGCGGAGCGCUACUCCAGCCGCGGCUGUUGGGGAAGGGGAGGGGUGGGGGGGGAGCGGCAACGGCAGCGCGGGGUGAGGGAGGGCGGCGGCGGAGGAGGAGGAAGGGGGGUGUUUUCAAACCCGACGGCCACAGCGGCCGGAGCCGGGGCUGA
rnacentral:lncRNA from 1 species